rnacentral:sRNA from 1 species
CUCUUCGUUAGGUGAGGCUCCUGUAUGGAGAUACGCUGCUGCCCAAAAAUGUCCAAAGACGCCAAUGGGUCAACAAGAAUCAUCGACAUAAGGUGAUUUUUAACGCAGCUGGCAUGAUGCCUAUGCCAUACAGUGCUAAAGCUCUACGAUUGAAG